CAUUUGAGCCAAAUGACAUUCUAUUACAAUAAAGAGUGUGUUAAACAGACGAAAUCCCAAGCCGGUGAAGGCACGUAAACGGGGGAGAUACGUCUCUUAGAGUGCACAUUGGGUGUGAAUGGAAUUGGAAGGAGCGUGCACUUGUAAGAACCAGCACAACUCCAAUAAAUUCGUUAAUGAUCCUUCCGCAGGUUCACCUACGGAAACCUUGUUACGACUUUUACUUCCUCUAAAUGACCAAGA
rnacentral:misc_RNA from 1 species